CAUGCGAGUCGUGAGGGUUCGGCCCUCGGCGAACGGCUCAGUAACACGUAGAUAAUUUGCCCUUAGGUGGAGGAUACCCUCGGGAAACUGAGAAUAAUACUCCAUAGAUUUAGAAUGCUGGAAUGCUUUUAAAUUGAAAGAUUUAUCGCCUAAGGAUAAGUCUGCGGGCUAUCAGGUCGUAGUUAGGGUAAAUACCUGACUAGCCUACGACGGAUACGGGUUGUGAGAGCAAUAACCCGGAGACGAUAUCUGAGACACGAUAUCGGGCCCUACGGGGCGCAGCAGGCGCGAAACCUUCACACUGUGCGAAAGCACGAUGAGGGAAUCCCAAGUGCUUGCACGUAAGUGUAAGCUGUUUUUCUGCCUAAAAAGCAGAGAGAGUAAGAGCUGGGUAAGACGGGUGCCAGCCGCCGCGGUAAUACCUGCAGCUCAAGUGGUGGCCGCUAUUAUUGGGCCUAAAACGUUCGUAGCCGGUUUGGUAAAUGCCUGGGUAAAUCGAGCCGCUUAACGGUUCGAAUUCCGGGUAGACUGCCAGACUUGAGACCGGGAGAGGCUAGAGGUACUCCUGGGGUAGAGGUGAAAUUCUGUAAUCCUGGGGGGACCACCAGUGGCGAAGGCGUCUAGCUAGAACGGGUCUGACGGUGAGGGACGAAGCCCUGGGGCGCAAACCGGAUUAGAUACCCGGGUAGUCCAGGGUGUAAACGCUGCUUGCUUGAUGUUAGUCGGGCUCUGAGCCCGAUUAGUGUCGGAGAGAAGUUGUUAAGC
rnacentral:rRNA from 1 species